rnacentral:ncRNA from 1 species
UAAAGGCAUGGUCCCGACCUUAUUAUCAGCUCCCGCCCAACUUACACAUGCAAGUCUCCGCAACCCCGUGAGUAUGCCCUUAAUCCCCCACCCGGGGACGAGGAGCGGGCAUCAGGUGCAAAUUUUAGCCCAAGACGCCUGGCCAAGCCACACCCCCAAGGGAAUUCAGCAGUGAUAGACAUUAAGCCAUAAGUGAAAACUUGACUCAGUUAGGGCUAACAAGGGCCGGUAAAACUCGUGCCAGCCACCGCGGUUAAACGAGAGGCCCCAGUUGAUAACACCACGGCGUAAAGGGUGGUUAAGGAAAGCAAGACAAUUUUUUAAAGCCAAAUGGCCCUUUGGCCGUCAUACGCUUCUAGGUGUCCGAAGCCCAAUCUUACGAAAGUAGCUUUAAUAAAGCCCACCUGACCCCACGAAAGCUGAGAAACAAACUGGGAUUAGAUACCCCCCUAUGCUCAGCCAUAAACCUAGACAUCCAACUACAGUUAGGUGUCCGCCCGGGUACUACGAGCAUCAGCUUGAAACCCAAAGGACCUGACGGUGCCUCAGACCCCCCUAGAGGAGCCUGUUCUAGAACCGAUAACCCCCGUUAAACCUCACCACUUCUAGCCAUCCCAGCCUAUAUACCGCCGUCGUCAGCUUACCCUGUGAAGGCAAUAAAAGUAAGCAGAAUGGGCACAACCCAGAACGUCAGGUCGAGGUGUAGCGUACGAAGUGGGAAGAAAUGGGCUACAUUUUCUAUCACAGAACACUACGAACGUGCAACAUGAAAUAGUGCUUGAAGGAGGAUUUAGUAGUAAAAAGGAAGCAGAGUGUCCUUUUGAACCCGGCUCUGAGGCGCGUACACACCGCCCGUCACUCUCCCCUGUCAAAACGCAGCAAGGCUACCUAACACUAGAGCACUGACAAGGGGAGGCAAGUCGUAACAUGGUAAGUGUACCGGAAGGUGCACUUGGAUUAAACC